UACGUAGGAGACGAGCGUUGUCCGGAGUUACUGGGCGUAAAGGGUGCGUAGGCGGUUGUUUAAGUUUGGUGUGAAAUCUCCCGGCUCAACUGGGAGGGUGCGCCGAAUACUGAAUGACUAGAGUGCGGGAGAGGAGAGUGGAAUUCCUGGUGUAGCGGUGAAAUGCGUAGAUAUCAGGAGGAACACCGGUGGUGUAGACGGCUCUCUGGACCGUAACUGACGCUGAGGCACGAAAGCGUGGGUAGCAAACAGG
rnacentral:rRNA from 1 species